CAUUCUCUUACUAAUGAUUGACAGUUAGUUUGAAUAUUUUGAAGGGUCAAUUCCACCCACUUUUCAAGACAAAUCGUUUAGGAUCCCUAAAACGCUGUAAGCUGAACUACUGAGUUGUUUCAAUAGAGUUUCAAAUCUAGAGCGAAUUGUAGUAGGAUUUUGUUGAUUGUUUUUUACUAUUGAAUAUAUACACGUAAUUGCUCAUUUUGAUAAGUUUCACGACUUACUUGGAACAUAUAUGUGUCAAUUCAUCAAAAAUUGGUUGUUUAGGUUUAUUAACAGCCAAACUCCUAAAAAAAAGUUUGUAGAGUUUGUCAGCUUAUUGUAGAAUUUACCUUUUCCCUCAAAUUAAUAUGUUUUAUUGAGCCUGUAGCAUCCAAAAUAUACAUUAAACAAUGGAUCUCUCAAUCUGACCCUUUGUGAAGCUGCCAGAUUUGAGAGCUCUACGACAUAUUGGCGUCAAUAUAAC